rfam:Prevotella bergensis DSM 17361 genomic scaffold SCAFFOLD4, whole genome shotgun sequence.
GCUUUGGUGGCGGAAUUGGUAGACGCUAAACUGUGGUGUAUUUGAAAACAGUUGAAAAAUUAUACACCGUGCAGGUUCGAGUCCUGCCCAAGGCA